AUUUAAACCACGAAUUUGUCAAGCCACAGAGUUUGCAGGUGCUAGUGAUUGGAGCCCCAGUCUCACCUGGAUCUCAAACACCUGCAAUGGAAAUAAGGACGAUGAAACUCUCAGGUGAUGAGGGUUACUCUGAUGUCCCCCCUUAGGAUUCUCUCUGCUCUGAGCAUAUAAAGGAUUCACCGGAGAAAGGGAGCUCCUUUGGGAGGUGUUCGGUGUUUUGUAUCUCUGCCAGCAAUAAAGCAAAGCUCUAAGGGAAGAGGGGUUUGGGCCAGGUUCAGCGUGGGCGCGUAUGAGGCCGGAGCAAUCCAAAGAUUUGGGAAUGCCAGGAAGCGGCUUUGUGUAAGAAAAUCUGCCCAACGACAACCUCUACAAGGGCAGGAGGACAAAUUACUUGGCUGCUGGCUGUGUGCUCGAGAAGGUGAGGUAUGUGGCAAGCUGCUGGGUGGACGGGGGCUGUGUUGCCCUGACAAGUGCGAUGUACAGGGGCAGGGACUGAGCUAUGGGGUUUGUGCUCCAAGAACCGUGCCCUAAAACACUUCCAAAACCACCGCAGCGUGCUGGCAGGAGGAGCCACUGAAAAGCAUUGCCUGUAGAAAGUUGUUCCAGAGUCUUAAUGUAAAUAAGCAGUGGUCACUGCCAUGCCAGGUUGAAGCAGUCCCUAAGCAGUGUUAAAUGCUGCACUGAAACUGGGAUUUUCAUAAACACAGAGCAGAGAGAAAAGAUGAGUCGGACCAAAAUCUAGAUGUUUCACCCCAAGGACAGAGCACGUCUCAGGGCCUGGGUGCAGCACACUGCGUCUCUUCCCUCCCCACUGCUGUGGGGGUGGUUUUCCUCCACCACCAGGAGGAAGUUUUGGGCUUGGGCUCUGCGAGAGGUGUGCUGAGGAGCCCAGUGGCUCUGUAGCUGUACUAAGCCCUGGCUGAGAUGACCCACCGAGCCAAGCAAACAGCUUGUGCGCGCCCACACUCCCCUCAAGUGUCAGCAGAAAAAUGGGAUCUGUUGGCAUAAACAAGCUUCUUUAAUCCCAUUCAGCACAACCUUCGUGGUCAGGCUGUGCUCAGCCAUAGCUGCGUAGGGAGCUGUGAGCUGAUUUGCUCUGAU
rnacentral:lncRNA from 1 species